GAGAAAGUGACAGACAGAGUCUCCAAAAUGGCCGAGGGUUCAUUAGAGCUGGAGGGUUCAACAGAGCUGGAUGGGUCACUAGAGCUGUACUUUACAGUCAAAGGUUUGGACACACCAUUUCAUUCAAGGGUGUCUAUUUUAAAUAUUUUCCACAUUGUAGAAUAAUAGUGAAGACAUCAAAGCCAUGAAAUAACACUUAUGCAAAGAGAAAUGCAAAAGAAAUACAAAAUGACAGUCCGUCAUUAUCUUAAGACAUGAAAGUCAGUCAAUAUGGAGUGCAGCCUCAAAAACAAUCAAGUAUUAUCAUGAAACAAGCUCUCAUGAGGACCACCACAAGAAAGGAAGACCCAGAGUUCCCCUGCUGCAGACUAGAGGUUCAUUAGAGUUCCCCUGCUGCAGAGUAGAGGUUCAUUAGAGUUCCCCUGCUGCAGAGUAGAGGUUCAUUAGAGUUCCCCUGCUGCAGAGUAGAGGUUCAUUAGAGUUCCCCUGCUGCAGAGUAGAGGUUCAUUAGAGUUCCCCUGCUGCAGAGUAGAGGUUCAUUAGAGUUCCCCUGCUGCAGAGUAGAGGUUCAUUAGAGUUCCCCCUGCUGCCGAGUAGUGGUUAGAGUUCCCCCUGCUGCAGAGGUUCAUUAGAGUUUCCCCUGCUAUAAUAAUAAUAAUAAUACGCUUUUCAGGGACCCAAAGACGCUCUACAAUAGUAACAUGGAACAGAAAACAAACAGAAACAAAAUAAAUACUAUGAGAAAACAAUGAAGAUUGAGUUUGUGGGAUUUGGCAUGGCCAAGGGUAGGCGAUGUUGAACAGAUGAGUCUGCUGCAGACUAGAGAUUCAUUAGAGUUACCAUCGUCAGAAAUCUGCAAUUAAGUUCACCUCUGAUGGCAACCCAUAUAAAUGCUUCACAGAGUUCAAGUAACAGACACAUUUCAAGAUCAAUUGUUCAGAGGAGACUGUGUGAAUCAAGCCUUCAUGGUAGCAUAAGAAGAGACUUGACUGGACCAAGAAACAUGAGAAAUUGACAUUAGUAGAGUGGCAAUCUGACCUUUUUCCAAAUUUGAGAUUGUUGGUCACUGUGGGGAGUUUUCUCAGCAGCAGGUUCUGGGAGAGUCAAGAUCAAGGGAAAGAUGAAGGCAGAUGCUUGAUGAAAACCAACUCCACUCAGGACUUGGGUGAAGGUUCUCAACUCUAAGCAAAAAGCCAAGAGAAGGUAAACUGGCUUCUGGACAAGGAAAUGGUGGUGUUAGAGACUUGAACCAAUCAAACAGAUAGCUGGAGAGUCCUGAACAUGGCUGUGCAGCAAAGUUCUCCAUCCAACUUAAAACUUGAAAUCUGUUUCUGCCACCAAACCUUUUUACUCCCAAACUCAGUUUCAGGAUAUUUCACAAUUAUCAAUAUAUUUAUAGUGAAGAAAGGCACUAUAAGCCCAUUUCAAUGAUUCAAUCACAUCAGAAUAAAACGAAAUGCAGUGCCGGUAAAUAUGUUUUUAGCCAAAUGGCAAAUGUUGCCGAUUAAUUUAGCUUUCAUCAAAAUACGUAUUUGAUUAAUUUGUAGUGAUCUCCUACAAGCUGCAAAUUAAUUUGCCGAGUAGGUUUUGCUUUUUAAAGGAAAUAUUUUCUGAACAGGGGUGGGCUCAUUUCCAAUAACUAGCAGACAGCGAUGUCUAAAAUGCUGAAAGAGAGUCGUUUGCGAGGAUUGUUGGCGAGCUUAUGGUCCGCAUGCGCCGGCGAUCUGUUGAAGACCCCGCACUAUUUAAUGGUUUAAGUGUCAGCACCGUCUGGGGGGGAUCAAGAAAAACCAUCCUCUGAUCAAACCAGGGAGCAGAACUGGAC
ensembl:lncRNA